GAUGAACGCUAGCGGCAGGCCUAAUACAUGCAAGUCGAGCGGGGGAUAGCAAUAUCUUUAGCGGCGGACGGGUGAGUAACGCGUACACAACAUGCCCUUGGUUGGGGGAUAGCCGGUGGAAACGCCGAGUAAUACCGCAUAAGACCACGUUCCGGCAUCGGGGAGUGGUUAAAGUUGAGGCGACCAGGGAUUGGUGUGCGUUCGAUUAGCUAGUUGGCGGGGUAACGGCCCACCAAGGCGACGAUCGAUAGGGGGUGUGAGAGCAUGGCCCCCCACACGGGUACUGAGACACGGACCCGACUCCUACGGGAGGCAGCAGUAAGGAAUAUUGGACAAUGGGCGGAAGCCUGAUCCAGCCAUGCCGCGUGAAGGACGAAGGCGCUACGCGUCGUAAACUUCUUUUGAAUGGGGACAAAAGCGGUGACGUGUCACUGUUUGAGGGUACCAUUAGAAUAAUCACCGGCUAACUCUGUGCCAGCAGCCGCGGU
rnacentral:rRNA from 1 species